AUUGAACGCUGGCGGCAGGCCUAACACAUGCAAGUCGAGCGGCAGCGGAAAGUAGCUUGCUACUUUGCCGGCGAGCGGCGGACGGGUGAGUAAUGUCUGGGAAACUGCCCGAUGGAGGGGGAUAACUACUGGAAACGGUAGCUAAUACCGCAUAACGUCGCAAGACCAAAGAGGGGGACCUUCGGGCCUCUUGCCCUCGGAUGUGCCCAGUGGGGAUUAGCUAGUAGGUGGGGUAACGGCUCACCCAGGCGACGAUCCCUAGCUGGUCUGAGAGGAUGACCAGCCACACUGGAACUGAGACACGGUCCAGACUCCUACGGGAGGCAGCAGUGGGGAAUAUUGCACAAUGGGCGCAAGCCUGAUGCAGCCAUGCCGCGUGUAUGAAGAAGGCCUUCGGGUUGUAAAGUACUUUCAGCGGGGAGGAAGGUGUUGAGGUUAAUAACCUCAGCAAUUGGCGUUACCCGCAGAAGAAGCACCGGCUAACUCCGUGCCAGCAGCCGCCGUAA
rnacentral:rRNA from 1 species